AUUGAACGCUGGCGGCAGGCCUAACACAUGCACGUCGAGCGGAGCGGCGGACGGGUGAGUAAUGCCUAGGCAUCUGCCUGGUAGUGGGGGAUAACGUCCGGAAACGGGCGCUAAUACCGCAUACUAUCAGAUGAACCUAGGUAGGAUUAGCUAGUGGGUGGGGUAAAGGACUACCAAGGCGACGACCCGUAACUGGUCUGAGAGGAUGAUCAGUCACACGGGAACUGAGACAUGGUGCAUACUCCGACGUGAGGCAGCAGUGGUGAAUAUUGGAAAAGGGGCGAAAGCCUGAGCCAGCCAUGCCGCGUGUGUGAAGAAGGUCGUCGGAUUGUAAAGCACUUUAAGUUGGGAGGCGUUACCAACAGAAUAAGCACCGGCUAACUUCGUGCCAGCAGCCGCGGUAAUUC
rnacentral:rRNA from 1 species